rnacentral:rRNA from 1 species
UACGUAGGGUGCAAGCGUUAAUCGGAAUUACUGGGCGUAAAGCGUGCGCAGGCGGCUUUGAAAGUCAGUUGUGAAAUCCCCGGGCUUAACCUGGGAACUGCAUUUGUGACUGCAUCGCUGGAGUGCGGCAGAGGGGGAUGGAAUUCCGCGUGUAGCAGUGAAAUGCGUAGAUAUGCGGAGGAACACCGAUGGCGAAGGCAAUCCCCUGGGCCUGCACUGACGCUCAUGCACGAAAGCGUGGGGAGCAAACAGG